CACAAGCGGUGGAGCAUGUGGUUUAAUUCGAAGCAACGCGAAGAACCUUACCAGGUCUUGACAUCCCGAUGCUAUUUCUAGAGAUAGAAAGUUACUUCGAUACAUCGGUGACAGGUGGUGCAUGGUUGUCGUCAGCUCGUGUCGUGAGAUGUUGGGUUAAGUCCCACAACGAGCGCAACCCCUAUUGUUAGUUGCCAUCAUUCAGUUGGGCACUCUAGCGAGACUGCCGGUAAUAAACCGGAGGAAGGUGGGAUGACGUCAAAUCAUCAUGCCCCUUAUGACCUGGGCUACACACGUGCUACAAUGGUUGGUACAACGAGUUGCGAGUCGGUGACGGCGAGCUAAUCUCUUAAAGCCAAUCUCAGUUCGGAUUGUAGGCUGCAACUCGCCUACAUGAAGUCGGAAUCGCUAGUAAUCGCGGAUCAGCACGCCGCGGUGAAUACGUUCCCGGGCCUU
rnacentral:rRNA from 1 species